rnacentral:lncRNA from 1 species
CAACAGGCAGAGGGCUGCAUUCCUUCGUUCAGACCUCCGAAGUGUUUCUUGAGGAAAUGUGGCUGCAGACCCUAGAAGAAGCUACACAGCACUUGCCAGGGCUGGGAUGAUGUCCAGGCCAUGGAAACACCGUGUACCUGGUCCCAGGAAGAUGAAGUGUGGGCCCAGAGACUAAUGGCUUGAGCAUCUCAGGCUAAGGUUGCCGAGAAGUAGACAGCACCUCUAGAUCCUAGUCAACAUCUCUACAGGCUUGAAGUCUCCCCAGAGGGCAAGGUUGGAAUAAAUCUGAAGCCUGUGGCUUGCCUGGGAGCUGCCCAGACUGUGGCAUCUGGGGAGUGACUUUUUAAUUUUAAUUUUAUUUUGAGACAGAGUCUUG